CCUACGGGAGGCAGCAGUGGGGAAUUUUGGACAAUGGGCGCAAGCCUGAUCCAGCCAUGCCGCGUGUGGGAAGAAGGCCUUCGGGUCGUAAACCACUUUUGUCAGGGAAGAAACGGCCUUUUCUAAUACAGGGGGCUAAUGACGGUACCUGAAGAAUAAGCACCGGCUAACUACGUGCCAGCAGCCGCGGUAAUACGUAGGGUGCAAGCGUUAAUCGGAAUUACUGGGCGUAAAGCGUGCGCAGGCGGCUUUGCAAGACAGAUGUGAAAUCCCCGGGCUCAACCUGGGAACUGCAUUUGUGACUGCAUGGCUAGAGUACGGUAGAGGGGGAUGGAAUUCCGCGUGUAGCAGUGAAAUGCGUAGAUAUGCGGAGGAACACCGAUGGCGAAGGCAAUCCCCUGGACCUGUACUGACGCUCAUGCACGAAAGCGUGGGGAGCAAACAGGAUUAGAUACCCUGGUAGUCCACGCCCUAAACGAUGUCAACUGGUUGUUGGACGGCUUGCUGUUCAGUAACGAAGCUAACGCGUGAAGUUGACCGCCUGGGGAGUACGGCCGCAAGGUUGAAACUCAAAGGAUUGACGG
rnacentral:rRNA from 1 species